rnacentral:rRNA from 1 species
AGCUCCAUUAGCGUAUACUAAAGUUGCUGCGGUUAAAAAGCUCGUAGUUGGAUUUUGGGAGCGGAGUUUGACUGGCCUGCCGGAAUGGUGUGUGCCGUCGACGCGUUUCUUUCCUUCCCGUUUUUCGCGUUUUCGUAACGCGAGAGUAGCGACGCCGGCCGAUUGAUUUCGGGCGGACACGUUCGCGCGGGAUCAUUUACUUUGAAAAAAGAGGAGCGUUCAAAGCAGGCCGUUUUUUGUCGGCCGUUGAACAUUCUAGCAUGGGAUAAUGGAAAAGGACCUUUUGUCUUGUUUUGUUGGUUAUCAGCCAAGAGGUAAUGAUUAAGAGGGACAGUUGGGGAUCUUCGUAUUCAGUUGUCAGCGGUGAAAUGCUCGGAUUAUCGGAAGACGAACUUCUGCG